CAUGCAAGUCGAACGGAAAGGCCCUUUCGGGGGUACACGAGUGGCGAACGGGUGAGUAACACGUGGGUGAUCUGCCCUGCACUUUGGGAUAAGCCUGGGAAACUGGGUCUAAUACCGAAUACACCCUGCUGGUCGCAUGGCCUGGUGGGGGAAAGCUUUUGCGGUGUGGGAUGGGCCCGCGGCCUAUCAGCUUGUUGGUGGGGUGAUGGCCUACCAAGGCGACGACGGGUAGCCGGCCUGAGAGGGUGUCCGGCCACACUGGGACUGAGAUACGGCCCAGACUCCUACGGGAGGCCGCAGUGGGGAAUAUUGCACAAUGGGCGCAAGCCUGAUGCAGCGACGCCGCGUGAGGGAUGACGGCCUUCGGGUUGUAAACCUCUUUCAAUAGGGACGAAGCGUGAGUGACGGUACCUAUAGAAGAAGCACCGGCCAACUACGUGCCAGCAGCCGCGGUAAUACGUAGGGUGCGAGCGUUGUCCGGAAUUACUGGGCGUAAAGAGCUCGUAGGUGGUUUGUCGCGUUGUUCGUGAAAACUCACA
rnacentral:rRNA from 1 species